CAGCCACCUCCAUUGCGCAGCAGCCUCGUUCCUUCAAAGGUGCUCCACCACUGCUUGGUCACUCGAUGUCUUUGUCUCCCUAUUGCGUGCUCUGUUGAAGGUGUCUUCGAGCUUCCAGGUGAUGAAGCCGAUGAUGCAGACUGAAACUUUGUUCUGUGAGAGUUAAAACAUUACAUAUCAGUUCCCCUAUCUUGGCUGCUAAAAGUCCCUAUUUCUACGAGCUUUUUUCAAGUGAGACGAAGCAGUCAGAACAAAGACAUGUCACCCUGAAAAUUAAUGCCUCUGAAAAAGGUGCUCUUAUGCAGUUAUUGAAUUUUAUGUAUAGUAGUACAUUGACCAAUACUUCAGCAAGAAACAGUCCAACCAUUGUGUGAUGCAGCAAAGCUGUUUCUUGUUAAUAAAUUCAAGGAUAUA